UACAGAGGUCCCAAGCGUUGUUCGGAUUCAUUGGGCGUAAAGGGUGCGUAGGUGGUAAGGUAAGUUGGAUGUGAAAUCUCGGGGCUCAACCCCGAAACUGCAUUCAAUACUGCCUUGCUGGAGUACUGGAGAGGAGAUUGGAAUUUACGGUGUAGCAGUGAAAUGCGUAGAUAUCGUAAGGAAGACCAGUGGCGAAGGCGGAUCUCUGGACAGUUACUGACACUGAGGCACGAAAGGCCAGGGGAGCAAAACGGGG
rnacentral:rRNA from 1 species